GGGCAUGAAGCAGAGCAAAGCCCUGCGGGAGGAGAGGAGCUGCAGCUGCUCAGGCUUGGGAUGGAUCCAGGUCCCCACACGAAGCCCAGCCUUGGCACCCCAUUGCAUCCCUAUGGGAGCAGCAGCAUCCAUCCCAUCCCACGCAGCCCCCCAGACCAGUGCCAGCCCGGGGUCCCAGCACAGUGCCGGUCCCACACUGGGGUGCACGGAGCCCACAGCAGAACGCCACUGCUCUGCAGCACAGCGCUGCAUCCUCAGCCGCUCACACGCAGCUAUCGACAGCGAUUUCACACUGCUUGCCUUCCUAAUUGUCUCCCUGAUCUGUUUUCUAAUCUGAGUUGUCUUAACACAAACAAUUACAGCCGAGUAACUGAUUAAUCAUUCAAAUGAAUUUAAAAUGGAGUGUUUUAAUAUAUUUAGAUAAUGCACAUGUGCAACAGGAAAAAAAAAGAGCGAUGCUUAUCUGCAAUUGUCACUUAGAAUGGAUGAGUUCCAAUUAUUUGUGUGGGAGAAAACAGAGGUAUAAAGAUCAGAAUCCAAAUUAUUGUGUAAACUGUUGACAUAUUCUGAGCGCUGUUAUUUAAAUGCCACAAAAUAGAUGUUUAAAUGAGGAUGAAUAAUUGCAUCAAUAAUUCAUUUGCAGCUUAGAAGGAAGCUUUGGCUGAUGUGGGAUGGUGGGAAGGGGCAGCGUGGCUCCGGAGCUUUUUGCAUUGAGGCAGAGGGAGCUUCUCCAAAAGCCUUGCUCUUUGCAGGCCCAAAGGCUUGCAUGGAAUCCCAACCUGCCCCAAAGCAGUGGCAUAGACCCAAACUCCCGUAUCCAGAUGCACAGCAGCUCAUGCCCGCUGCCAUGCUGCGACUGAGCCAGCAGAAAACCCCAGAGGCGAUGCUUCCCUUACCUGCAAAUUGGUUUCUAAUCUGGGUGCCUUUAAAAACGCAGCCAUUGGAAAGAAAAGCAAGGCCACUCGUGCUUAUAGCACAGUUAUCCAACGGGGUGAGGGAGUGAGGUUUGCUAAGCACUGGUUCUUUAAAUAACACACCCUCUCGCAGUGGUAUGUGGCAAGGAGUAACCCAACACAGCCUCCUGCAACGAGAUACAGCAUCAGACAUUUAAAAGGAAUAGCUUUGAUGCCGGCUGUCAGCAAAAAAUGCAGGCAGAAAACGCGUGCCUUCAGCUGCUGCCACGCACAGAGCAGCAAGAGCCCCAUCCCAACGUCCUGCUGAGCACAGAGGGCCUCUUAAUGGGCGAAGAGGAGGUGAAACGCACAGCAGAGCGGUGGGGAUCUCCCCAGCUUGGAGGUUCCCAGGACCAUGUUGUGCUGUGCACACAGCAGAUGUGAGGCAUUACCCACACAGCACCAGCUGAGCCACAAAGACCAAGGAGGAUGAACAUGGCUUUCCAGCAUCACGAGGCCACCAGCACCUGCGCUGCCCCA